AGCAACCGCUAGCUUACUUAUCAGUUAACUGAAAAAUAUAAAUAAACAAAAUGAGCCUAACACCAAAAAAUUAAAUCAUUCUUUUACCUUAGUAUGGGAGACAGAAAAGGUCACGCAAAGCAAUAGAAACAGUACCGCAAGGGAAAGCUGAAAGAGAGAUGAAACAGCCCAUAUAAGCACAAAAAAGCAAAGACUAGACCCUGUACCUUUCGCAUCAUGAUUUAGUCAGUAUAUUCAAGCAAAGAGACCUGUAGUUUGAACCCCCGAAACCAGGUGAGCUACCCCGAGACAGCCUAUUAAGGGCCAACCCGUCUCUGUGGCAAAAGAGUGGGAAGAGCUCCGGGUAGAGGUGACAGACCUACCGAACCUGGUGAUAGCUGGUUGCCUGGGAGAUGGAUAGAAGUUCAGCCUCGUACCCCCUCUAAGUCAAAGCAUAAGCAAGACACCAAGAGAAACAUAUGAGAGUUAGUUAUAGGAGGUACAGCCCCUUUAACAAAGGACACAACCUUUCCAGGAGGAUAAAGAUCAUAGUACACAAAAUAUGCUGUUCCAGUGGGCCCAAAAGCAGCCACCCAAACAGAAAGCGUUAAAGCUCAAACGAAAAGAAAUUUAUUAUUCUGAUAAACAAUCUUACUCCCCUAACUAAUACUAGGCCAACCCAUGCCCGCAUGGGAGAGAUUAUGCUAAAAUGAGUAACAAGAAGGCCCGCCCUUCUCCAAGCAUAAGUGUAAGCAAAACCGGACCCACCAUUUGCAAUUAACGAACUCAACCCCAGAGAGCAAUGUGAGCUACAAAAAAAUCAAGAAAAAUCCACAGCCCAUUUAUCGUUACCCCCACACUGGAAUGCAUUAAAGGAAAGACUAAAAGAAAGGGAAGGAACUCGGCAAACACAAGCCUCGCCUGUUUACCAAAAACAUCGCCUCCUGCAACAACUAUAUAUAGGAGGUCCAGCCUGCCCAGUGACUAUCAGUUUAACGGCCGCGGUAUCCUGACCGUGCAAAGGUAGCGCAAUCACUUGUCUUUUAAAUAGAGACCUGUAUGAAUGGCCAAACGAGGGCUUAACUGUCUCCCCUUUCAAGUCAGUGAAAUUGAUCUACCCGUGCAGAAGCGG
rnacentral:rRNA from 1 species